GUGUGUCCCAGAAUAAAACACACUUUUUCUUUUACAGAGAAGAUUAGCAUGGCCCCUGCGAAAGGAUGACACGCAAAUUCGUGAAGCUUGCUUGCUUGCU
rnacentral:snRNA from 1 species